rnacentral:lncRNA from 1 species
UGAAGAUGUUUAACACAAAUGAAUGAAUAGUUGUGAUGGAAUGCAUAACUAUUAAUCUCUAAUUAAUCUAUGUAAUAUGGCUGAAUUGAAUAACACGAUGAUAUAUUCAAAAUCAAUCAAGAGAGAAUAAGAAACUCAAUAGUAUUAUCUGUUAUCUUAUUUCAUUUUAUAACCAUCACCUUAUAUUAUAAAGAAAUAUCUAUAUGGUUUUUGAAAUUAUUAAAAGAAAAAAAUACAAAUUAUUUUGUGCUAACAAAAUAACUAAAUGACAACUCAUGGAAUAUUCUAACAGUGCUAUUUUCUUGAGUUCCUCACUAAAUAAGUAAUCAUAUAGGAACUCGUAUACAUCUACAUAUAUUAUUCUUACAUAUCGGCAUCAUACCAUCGGGGCAUAUAUCGUAUGAACAAUCAUCAUCGCUAACGCAUUUAUAAGCCACUGUGAUAAAAAAGAAUAUAAUUAAAUUGAAAUAAAAAAUUGAAUAAUAAUUAAGGAAAAAUAUUUGAAAGAAUAAAAAUUGCUUACUGUUAUCGUUCAUUUCAACAAGGAUUAUGCAGAGAAAAAUAAUCAAAACAUAAACAAAUUUAACAAUUCCUGCCAUAUUUCUUUUGUUUGUAUGUUACAAAUGUUUUUAUCGGUUUAUAAUUUAUGUAUCCUACUCUCUCCUUGUAUCAAUUAUAAUCAUUAUUAAAUGUCUCUUCAGUAUAUAUCAAUUUAUUGUGUCCGUCUCUUUAGCAAAGUAAAAAAGAAAUCACAUAAAAAAACAUAUCAAUCGUGUAAGUUCAUUAUUUAUUAUUACUUGAUUCC